GAUGGGAGUCCUUUGCGUGCUUCAAGGAUAGUCUCUCAUAUCAAUCUCUCUCUUUGUUUGCUCCUGCUAUUAAAAUGUGUAGAUGUGUUGCUUUGCUAAUUGAGUAGUUAGGAAGAUGUGAAAAGAACAUGCUCUCUAGGAGGUUCAAAGAUUGUCGUGGAGCAAGUUCAAGAGAUUAGUUUGGUGAAAAUGAUGUGAUCUUUUGGUCAGGAUUUUGCAUGAUCCAUAGCCAUCAGGCGAGCAGUUCAAGGCCUACUACCGAGUCGUCCAUCGUCUUCUACGCAUGAGCUUGUUGUCUCUACACAUCUAGCAUCAGAGUAUCUCCUCCCAUUGCCGCACACACAUGCCCGCGGUCGAGCUUGUGUUGUUUGUGAUUGCUGGUCAUGAGUCUUACGUUGUCAUUGGACAAAUAAUUUGUUCUAUAACUCUGUACUGACGGGACCUUCAACAUAUAUGGUGUUUAGAAUUUGUUAUGUAACUCUGUAUUGUCGACCUUCAACAUAUAUGGUGUUGUCA